UACGUAGGGCGCAAGCGUUGUCCGGAAUUAUUGGGCGUAAAGAGCUCGUAGGCGGUUUGUCGCGUCUGCUGUGAAAUCCCGAGGCUCAACCUCGGGCUUGCAGUGGGUACGGGCAGACUAGAGUGCGGGUAGGGGAGACUGGAAUUCCUGGUGUAGCGGUGGAAUGCGCAGAUAUCAGGAGGAACACCGAUGGCGAAGGCAGGUCUCUGGGC
rnacentral:rRNA from 1 species